AUGCUAACCAGUUGGCCGCAGACGACGUCGACGAGUGUUCGUGUUCCAACUGCGGCGCACGGGAGCAACUCCAAUAGUGCUCCUCCAGAGUGGACAUUUGGCACUAUUAUAAAGAAGAAAAAGAAAAGGUUAAAUCAAAAACAAACUGCCCGUGUGCUCACCCCGAGAAUUCACUGGAGCCUCUGCACUACACCAAAAGUGGAAAACAGUGGAGCGUAGCAAAAGAAUAGCUGCAUGUGACUACGACAACUACGCCGUGGCAGAAAUCUGACCUUAAUAUUUUUUUCCGCCUCAGGACAGGAAAGUUGCACGGACAUAAGAAACCGGAACGGAACACCUCCUAAACAGCCAAUCGGCAUCCUCGCUAAUCACCAGAAGGCUGUAAAGGAAAGAACACAAUGCGGAUUUGGAGCUGCUUGAGUCCAAUUGACAGCGGUCAUUGACAUGCAUUUCCCCUUGUCGGUGGAAAGUGAAAUUAUGCUGCCUCCUUGUGGUUAUCAGGAUGUAAUGCACAUUUGCAAAAGGGACUGAGAUUUUUGUUGAGACCAUCGCGUCCGUGUGCGUGUGCGCGUGUGUGCGAGAUCGAGUUUUAUCAUAUUUUUUGGUCACGUGUUCUGUAAAGCGCUUUGUUACAGCUGCAACCGUUGUGAAAGCGCCAUGCACAUAUAGAUGAGCUAAAUUGGGUGUGGCAUUUAUUUAUUGAUUUAUUUAUUUUCUUCUAUUAGCAGA